GGGGUUGUGGCAGAGUGGACGAAUGCACCGGACUGUAAAUCCGGCUUGAAAGACGCCCUGGUUCGAAUCCAGGUGGCCCCACCA
rnacentral:tRNA from 1 species